rnacentral:rRNA from 1 species
UACGAAGGGGGCUAGCGUUGCUCGGAAUCACUGGGCGUAAAGCGCACGUAGGCGGCUUCUUAAGUCAGGGGUGAAAUCCUGGAGCUCAACUCCAGAACUGCCUUUGAUACUGGAGAGCUUGAGUCCGGAAGAGGUGAGUGGAACUCCGAGUGUAGAGGUGAAAUUCGUAGAUAUUCGGAAGAACACCAGUGGCGAAGGCGGCUCACUGGUCCGGUACUGACGCUGAGGUGCGAAAGCGUGGGGAGCAAACAGG